ACUUAAAUCAUGGGGAAAAGAUUUCUGAGCAACAAAAUAUUAAAUCUUCUGAAAUUGUUCAAGCUCUAUGCUUUCAUCCUACCACAGGAACAGGCAGAGAUAUUACAAGAAGAGGUAGAGUUGGAGAAAUCUGUAAAAACAAUUUGCGAGGCUCUUUUUCAAGUUGCUACUUUUGCAGUGGCACUGAUUUAGAAAAAAAGAUUUGUAAGUG